rnacentral:rRNA from 1 species
CAGCAGCCACGGGAAUACGGAGGGAGCUAGCGUUGUUCGGAAUUACUGGGCGUAAAGCGCGCGUAGGCGGUUACUCAAGUCAGAGGUGAAAGCCCGGGGCUCAACCCCGGAACUGCCUUUGAAACUAGGUGACUAGAAUCUUGGAGAGGUCAGUGGAAUUCCGAGUGUAGAGGUGAAAUUCGUAGAUAUUCGGAAGAACACCAGUGGCGAAGGCGACUGACUGGACAAGUAUUGACGCUGAGGUGCGAAAGCGUGGGGAGCAAACAGGAUUAGAUACCCGUGUAGUCCCUGUCUCUUAUAC